GGGGGUUGUGCAUAGGAAUUAUUAUAAUUAAACUAUUACUUUGUUGUAAAGUGGAAUGUACAAUCCAUAAACAAGUUUACACAAUGAUUAUUGACGAAUGAUUAACACAGUUUACGAUAAGUAUAAUAUACAUUCCAUCUUACGGUGUCUUGUACCAGUGAUCUCGUAGAUCAGUUCACGGUCGUUUACAGCGGCACUUUCUCUGGAGGUGCUCGAAGCACGACAUAAAGUCAGGAAGAUUUCGUUGAGUUUACACCCUCGUCACGAGACAACCAUCGUAAAAUACGAAAUCAUCGACCGGGGCGAGAAUUAUACCUCCCGCGACCCUUUCGCUUUCAACGUUGAACCUACGAACGAGCCCUCCCCCGCGCAACGACGCGAGUGGACAGCGGCCACCCCUCGGCGAUACUCAAUUUCCAGCUCAAACAACCAACAGCCGCGGCGGGGGUAACGAAAGCCCUGUUUGUCGGGGAAGACGAAAUAAAAAAAAAAACGGAGAAGAAAGAGGACUUAGCGAAGAACGUGUCGUCGUUCGACCAUCAAUACCACCUCCAGCGAAAAUAAACACCAGCACCCGUGGACCCGUCCGGCUCGUCGCCGUGGCGAUGGGUGGUGGAAAGAGGGAAAAAAAUCCUUCCACCGAAAAACUUUCGCCUCCAGACAAGCGGAUGCAAAUGGGAUAGAGAGAGGCGAGGGGAGAGGGUGGCGAUGGGGUAGGCGGCGGUGUUGGCCGGCCAAGAGGUCGGCGAAAGAGGGGCUGGAAAGGAGGUGGAAAGAGGUGGAGCAGAGGAGCGAGCGAGGGUGGCAACGAGGAGGAAAAGGGACGACGCGGGAGGGUUGAUAUCGGCUAGAAGGUGAGCUUCGGAACGCAAUGUCCGGCCUGGUCCAGCCGGCAGAGAUGCGAGUAUUGAUCUAGGCUCAGACCUAACCCACCCCCUCGAGAACCUUUCCACCCUCCUCGGCCACCUCCAGCCGCCUCCUUCGCCUCCACCAUCUCCAAGCUCGUCGCGAAGCCAGCCCUGCUUCGUUCCUGGGGGCCGUGGUCGAGAGAAAAAGGGAUGGAUGCCCGAGGGGCGAACCGAGAGAGGAGAGCAAGGGAAAACGGGCUGGUCGACGGGGGUGGCGGGAUCGGGAGGGUGGAGGCUCGAAGGAGGACCUCGAAGUCCGGCUCGCCGAGCUGCCCCUUCAGCUACGCACGUUCACUCUCACCUCCUCCACCUACGAUCUCCUCCUCUUACAUUAGACGCGCUGCAGGGGUGCUCAACCGAUGGAAAACUCUCCCUCAAGAUGGAAGAGGCUUUAUCAAACCGUCUUCGCGAUUUAGUUACUCAUAAAUUAACUAUAUCUUUUCUUUUUCUCUUUACAUAAUUAACGUCGCGUCAACCUUUGGUUAUUAGCGACUGUCCGAUAUCGUUACUUUGAAGCUUCGUUGUUUUCGAAAUUCUUGAAUCCUGAAAAGAAUCGCACCAGAAAUAACGUCCGAUUGAUCAGUUCACGUUCGUCUGAAAAUCCUAAUGAGGUUUCCCCGAGUUGAAAAAGAGGUUUAACUCGAAAAGGAGAGAAAUGGUGAUCCGUAAGAGGAGAAUUGAAAUUCCAAGUACUUCGUCGAUUCUCAGAGCCGUUCGGCGUUUAAUGAAUAAAUGGCGAGUAUCCACGGUGGAUGGGGUGGAAAGGGGUGAAAAUCGAAGACAGCCACGCCCUAUGAAGGUGAAACAAAGAAAAAAAUCGCGACUCGCGACCCGUAGAAUCCCGGAAGUCCACGCGUGGAAACGAGACGCAUUUCGAGCGUAUCAGGGCCAAGGUUUAUUAGCUGCGGAUCAGUUUCAGUAACCAGACUUGGUGUCGAGUGUUUACAAGUGGUCUGGAGUAGUGCUCGUAAAACGUGAAUAUAAACGGACGGCGAAAGUGUUGCCUUCGCUCGAAAGCACGACUCGUUUCAUCGUUACUCUUUCCUGUUGCUCAAUUUGUCAACACGCGAACGAGUUGCUGCCGACUGGCGAUCGCUGUGUCGAUUUAAAAUAUCGACUAACAUCGAUGUAUGGAUAUGUCAUUGCCGCAAUGGAUAAGCGGACAGACGUAACAAAUAUAUUAUUUUUUAGUCAAUCUCGCGAUUUCCUCACUUCGAACAAAUGAAUUCGUCCCUGAAGAGGUUAAUCAUCGGUUCCAACGCGCCCCGUCUCGUUCAAAAAGCGGUGGUCUUGCGAACCACCCCUUGCAAGAUCCGAGCAGAUAGCAGCGGCACGAAUUUACAUACUGACGAAAGUUGCCCGGCUGGUUUCCAAUUAUCAGCGUUGGAAAAUGGAAAUGCCGAGGCGGCCACGUUCCCGCCAGCCACCGAAUUUCACUUUCCACCCUCCACGACCGUUGUGCGACCGCCGCGCGUUGUUCCGUCCUAUCUUCCAACGCUAUAAAUUAAUACUAAUCUCGGCAUCCGUUGUGCAGGCCUGCUCGGUCACGGGGUAGGAUGCGAGGGGGUUUCAAGGGUGGCCGACGGCCGCCUUUGGAUUUAUUGGGAUUCGAGUAACUCCAUGCGACGUUAUCGUGCGCCGUUCCUCCGAGUCAACCGUGGUCGCCACUGACCUCUUCAAGUUCCACCGAAACACGCUGCGAACCCCACGCUCUUCGAAACGUUGAAAUUGUUGCGAGAUACACAUCGCGAGGUUUGAAAUUCAAAAUUUGUUUAAUUUACUUAAUCUCGUUACAAUUCUUUAUGUGAUUAAUGGAGUUAAGCGAUUUGUGAACGGUUCAUUUAAUUUCGAUUUAUUUAAAUAAGUAACAGUGGAAUUCGACAAUAACAUGCUUCACAAUUACUGUCUUAAGAUGUGCAAUCUUAAAGAUAUUGUAUAAUUGAAUUUAGGUACUGUUUGUACAACGGAAGUAUAUAUUUUUCCCUUCAGAAGAAACACAGAAUGAUUGAGAUCCAAGGAGGGCGAUAAAAUAACGCUGGGGAAGGACGAGCAUCUUUAUCGUUCUUAUGGCGUUAUCUUAUUAAGGAUGAGCUGGCGGGGUGCAUGGGAGAGACGGUUAGUAGCACGCGAGGGUGAAAAAUGAAGAAGAGACGAGAACCUACCCCACGGACCAUCGGUCAUCGCCGAAAACCGCCCCAUCGUUCUCUCCUUCCUUCUUUCGCGAUAUCAGCCAGUAAUGAAUCUGUCACAGCACCACGAGAUUUCAUUUCCUUCCUGGAGGACGUCGAGCCUAGCCUGAAGUGAUUUUUAUGAUUCCGGAGCGUCCAGUGUAAGCUUUAGGGGUAGUUCAAGGGCGUCGUAUUACGUCAAAAUCCUCUCAACGUAAGAUUAAUUGCAUCAAAGUCGUUCUCUUCGAGUAAAGCGUAAGUAAAUCUUUCACAUUUAAUUGUGAUCGCGUACACUUUCAUUUAAAAUAAAGUCUGAUGGAUUCUACAGCUUGCGUCGAUGUAUCGAGUGGUCGACGUUCCGGCAAUUGAAAUCAACCCCGACCUUCGCCAUCUCUCGUCACGCCAGCGACCCCGAAGAAGCUCGCGAGGGACGGCUGUUCUUGAGGAAGGAGCCGAACAUAGCGACCCAGUCCCAAAGACUUUGACCCACAUCAUAUCGCUCGUUUUUGCCUUCGCCUCCUUCACCUUCCCAGUUCCUUCCCUCCCGGGACUAUUAUCUUAAUCCCAUACAUCCACUUUAAGAGGCGUUCCGCCCGAACGAAGCGACGCCGACUACUUCCGUGGUUUCUAGAUGAAAUCCUUCUGCCUCUUCUUUUCAGGAUUAAUCAUCCCUUCGGAUGAAUCGAUUGAAACGAGGGGCUCUUGGAGUCCCUGGAAAUGAUGCUCCAUCGAGUGUUUUGCACCCUCGGCUGGAAAAUGGGGGAUGGUCUUUCAGUACCCAUUUAUAAAUACUACUCUCGGAUCUUGAUAUACCCGAAAUGUGUUACGUUUUAACGAAUACAUGUCAAUGAAUACGUAUCACGAACACGAUUAAUGAACAUGUUUAAAACUAUAUUAGGUUGUCCAAAAUUAACAGCGAUUUUUUUUAGGUUUACAAAUAAAGCAAACUCACCAUAAACUCGCCGAAGAAGACGUCCCCGUAAACACGGAGCUUUGUAAAUUGGGCCGAAGUUGACUCUACAGCGACGACUACCGACUUUUAUCGAGGAUCUACGGUGAACAAAGAUCGUAUACCCGUGUCGUCGGUGUCCUACUUGAAAAGUUAUUCGUAAGCCUGGGUGGGCGCACGUGCGACGAACUCUCAUAAAUUAGAGAUGCUCGAUCGCCCAAUUAAUACGAUGUUUCCAGUGGCAGACGAUCGACGAGCAGGAGAGAAAGCGCUGAAAGAAACGGUGGAAGCCCCCGGCUAAAAAUCGAGGAGGACGCGAAUCGUUGGUCGUCGCGAGCAGAAAAGAGACGGGACCAGGGUUAUUGCUCAAAUGUUGGAGGAGCCAGCGCGUAUACGCGUCGGGUGCGUGAACCGCGGCAUAAAUUAAAUUAGCAUAAUGCCAAGCCACCGAACAACAAAGUAAAAAGCCGCAACAACGUGGGAACCGGCCGAAAACGGGCAUUAUCUUUCAAUUAUCUGGAAGUGUUUCACGGUGUUUCCUUGGGAUGGUAAUCCGCGAGAGAACUUCGAGGAAACAAGCCCGCAACGUUUAUGCGCGUGGCUGGGGAUGGUGGUCAUUAAAGGGGAUGGAACAAACGUUUGUGAUGAUCGUGGGACAGUAGAAUUUGGUCAUACUUCACUUGCGAGGUCUCCUUAAUUCGAUGGUAAAACAAAUCAUUUUAAAUAUGAUAGCAGUUUGAAUCUUGCAUCUCCUUAAAUUAUGUGGCAUUACAUUAUCACUAGUUGUUACGUCGACGCAAUUAUUUUUAUAUUAUAUUAUAUAUUUAUAUUAUAUAAAGGAAUUGUCAUUCCUUUAGCUCUUGUAAGUGUACAAGGUAAUCAACGUACUCAUUAUCUCGAGAACCGUAAUCGUAAUCACUCUUGUCGAGUAGAAGCCAUUCCAGAGACAUAGAAACUGUUUCCACGUCGAGUACAGUAUUUAAUCCCUCUGUUGGGGUACUUACACAUUCGCAAUUUCCACUUUCGAGCAUUAUGCAUAACUCCCGCGAGCUAAGUAUGUUAUUAUACGAGUGUGUUAUUAUGCGGAAAAGGAUUCAUUUCUGCGUGACGACACUCAAAUUUAUACUACCGCAGCGGGUAAAGCGAACUCACCGCAACGAAUAUCGUCUUCAGGGGUUGGGACGGGAAUUCAAGUGUGCAUGGAGACCACCGGCGUGCUCUUUGGGUCUUCUCAAUCGUUGUUUCCGAUGAAAAAACUCAACGAAAAUUAAUACGGCGCGUCGACCGUUCGACUAAAAUCGGCGAAUUAAAAUAUAUUUAAGAGUGGACCGUUCGAAGCAACAUUGAUGAAAAUAUUUACAUAUUCUUCUUUAAAGAUCGUUAUCAGGGCGUGCCUUUGCAACAGUUAUUUAUACUAUUGACACGUCAGCUUCUUGGAAUCCCGUACAAACUGAGUACAAUUCGAGGGAGCAGUGCUCAAAGGCGUCGAAGAGUUAGAAACACGUAAGAGUUUAUGGAUAACCUGUUUCCACUUAUGAAAAUGUAAUUAAACCAAAGGGUUAUACCGUUUUGAGGGAGAGGAUGGAUUCCUACCUUUCGUUGCUCCACGAAAUCCGAAUUUACGUGACCGCAAGAGCUGAAAAGAAAGGCACCGCAAACGAGUAGAGUCCUGCCAGAUGGAUCGCGAUCCAGGCAGAAAUGCGAACCGGGACCACCAACGUCUAUGUUGAAGGAUUCCCUGAGAACGUUUCAUGCUAAUAAGACCGCGAGUCGCGUAAGACCAAACACCAGAUUUAUCUCUCGGCCCGAGUAGCCAGUCACUUUUCGUCCAUUCCAACUUGAUUACCGAAACCAGCUGGAUAGAGAAGGGUUGCGCAUCAGGUACAUCCAAUUUAAUUUACAUGAGAGUAGAUAACAAGUGAGUGGACACUCCAGACUGUGUUAGGUUUAUCCAGUAGGAAACAUACGUGUAAGAUGGUCUAGCUUGGUAUAUCUUUCAAUCAGGCACGAGACUGUUGCACUAACAAAAAGAAAAGCAAAGUAAUGAUGUACUGAUCACCUUAGACAAAUGGUAAGUUAAUUCGCCGACGAUUUCGCGACCGUGGAAUCGGGUUCACGGGACUCACGAUUACGAGUUUAAGGUAGCCGACACUCGAGUAGCGUCGGCGGCGGCAAGCUGGACUCCUCGUAAAAUUAUCGGUAAUAAAAUCGUGAUUUACGUCCAUGUUCCUGGAAAGCGGACCGCUCGAAAUCGUUCCGCUAUCCUGUCCGUUCCCCUGCCGCUUUUAUCUCUUCGUUCAUUCGUGGCCAGGAUGGCUGUGCGAGGACGACAUCGCCAGACACCGAAGACGCUUUGACCUUUCGCGUUCAUUUUCAGAAUAUCCGAAAGAAACGGGUUCAACCUCGUUGCCGCCCUCAAUGACCUUCUGACUUCAUUGUAAAGGCAGUUUACGAUCCCAACGUGGAUGGACGUGGGUGAGUGUGGGUGUGCGAGAGUCGCCGUGGGUGGCGCCUACGAGGUGACAACCGAAUCGACAAACAGACCAGACCCAGUUGCUCUAUGACAAGGGCACGACUGCGCCUACGAGAUGUUAACCGAAACGGCACGCAGGCUAGUAGCGGUUGCCGCAUAACAGGAGCACCUCGGCCCCUACAAUGCAGCAAC